GACUCCUCUCCGUGGGCGCUGCAGCAGGAAUGUGGCUGCAAGGGCGCAAGCUUUGGAGACAAGGAAUCUUGGGCUGGAAUCCCAGCUGUGGCCCUUCCUGGCUGUGUGACUUUGGACACUUCGCUGUCUCUACUUUGCCAAAAUGAAAACUCCGUCCACGAGUAGUUAAGGACGAGCCAGGCGCUUUGAAGAGCGCCUCUGCUACAACUCAGAAAAGACCUCUUUCUCCUGGAGCCUACAUUCUAGGGGGAAGUGGGCGUAAACUGAUUUUUUAAAGUGAUAAAUCAGAUAAUGGGUAAUUGCAGAGAAGAAAAUAAAGUGAGGUCAUCUGGGGGUGGGAAGAAAACCCACUUUGGAUGGGGUGAUGAGAGAAGACUUCUGUGAAGGGUGACAUUUGAGCUCAGAUCUGAAAGGAGAGGAUUCUUCCUCCCCCAGCUGGGUGGGAGAGGACAUUUUUUGGCUGAAGAGGCAACCAAAGCAAAGGCCCUGAGGCGGACCAAGGUUGGAAUCUCCUUUAGCCGAGGUCAAGUUUUGCAGCAAGCCCUGCCCUUGAUCCUCUGCCCAGAUGUUCAAGAUCCUGUCUACUAUGGUCUCCAAGGGCGCGGCUCACCACAAGAACAGCCUGGAAUCCGCAGACAACAGUUCCUCUUCAACCAUUGAAGGAAAAAAGAGACAUGUGAAAAAAGACAAAGGCCUCAGGGACCUUGCCUGCCCUGCCCCCAUGCCCAGCCCCCUGGGAGGCCCAUGGAGACUCCUGCAAAACCUAGAGCGCCCACUGCUGCUGCCACUGUCGGCCGGCGCCUCGGCUCCAGAGUCAGCAGACCCCGCCAGCUGGCUCCGCCACUUCCCUCCUCCAUGGAGUAGGGUCCUAAAACUAAAUGAAAGAGAACCAUGGGCCAAGACAGAGCAGAUGUCUAGGACACAGGAGGGCUGUGUCCAUGAGGCCUCUUUCAGAUGCCAGGAACAGAAACUCAAGUCCAACGAGGUUAAACCAGUGUCCAAGAUUGCUCCUGACCGCUCAGCUAAUCCUUUCCACAUAUCUGGGGACGUGGAUUUCUUCUUGCUCAGAGAUCAGGAACGGAAUAAGUCUCGCGCAGAGCGGGAGCGGAAGAAAGCGCUGCGGGUGCACGAGAAGAUGACCUACGCGUCCGAGGUGGCGGCCAAGCACACGAGCCUGCGGCGCCAGCUGCAGCUGGAGGACGAGAUGGAGGACCUGGCGGCGUGCGCCGAGGCCGAGCAGCUGCGCACCUGCCACGCGCGCGCCGCCUGGAAGCUCUGCAUGACCAGAGAGAAGACGCUGGGGUCUGAGAGCAUCAGCAGCUACAUGGGCCAGAGGCGGCAGUCAUUCCUCAUCCAGUACGCCCUAGAUAUGAAGCGGAGGGAGAUCCAGCGGCUGGAGGUGCUGGCCACCAAGGAGGAGGCGGCGCUGGAGCGCGCCGAGAGGUCCCUGGAGAACGACGCGGCGCUGUUCGACGAGUUCCUCCGGGAGAACGACCGCAGCUCCGUGCAGGCCCUGAGAGCGGCUGAGAAGGAAACCAAAGCAAAGGUGGAGAAAAUCAUCGAGAUCCGAGACCUGACCACCCAGAUCAUGAAUAUCAAAAGUGAAAUCUCCAAAUUCGAAGACACACUGCAGCAUUACAAGGCCUACAAGGAUUUCCUGUACAAGCUGUCGCCCAAGGACUGGCUGGAAGAGCAGAAGUGCUUGGCUCUCAAAAAGGCCAAGGAGAGGGCCGAGGCCUCCAAAGACAGCACUCUGUCCUCCACACUAGGGGACAAAGGUCCAGGGAUCAAGGGCAAGACCAGCCCCAGAGACGGGCAGGGCCCAAAGAAGCCCUGGAAGAUUCUGCAGGUUAUGCGGCUGGGGCAGAUGCUGUCCAGCAACGCCAGCCUCCAGUCAGGCAGCCAGUCCAGCGGGACUAGUGGGCUGGAACCCAAAGGCUCCUCCAGCACCCACUGGACAGCCAAGGACCUCUCAAACAUCUUCUGGAUUUCUUCCCGCAGUGCCGCUGAGAACACCCUGUCUUCUCCAGCCGUGAUGAGUGCCACAGGACAGACCUCCUCCUGCCCCCAGCCAGCCUCCACCCCGUCAUCUCACUCCUCCAGCUCAGCCCGCCAAGCCCUAGCAUGUAACAGGCCAAGCUCUGCCCUCCCUGUGCAGGAGGACCCGGACAGCGACGGGGAGGAGCUGGCGCUGUACUUCACGGAGCCCCAGCAGCUCCUGGACGUCUUCACGGAGCUGGAGGAGCAGAACCUCUCACUGAUCCAGAACACUCAGGAGAUGGAGGAGGCCUUGGAGGAGCUGAGGUUCAACCUGAAAACCACCCAGAUCCGCAUGGACAGGGAGGUCAACCAGCUGAAGCAGUGGAUCACCACGCUGAUGAUGUCCAUCACCAAGGAGGAGGAGACAGCCGCCGAGCUGGAGCUCAAAGCCCGAGUCUUCCACUUCGGCGAGUACAAGGGUGCUCAGGAGGACAAGCUGCUGGAGAGCCUGAACCACAAGGUGCUGGACGUGUACCGGCAGUGCGUCGGCACCCAGCAGGAGUCCAACCUGGGCACUGUGCAGAUGCUGACCGUCAUCGAGCACCAGCUGGACGAGCUGCUUGAGAACCUGGAGCGUGUGCCCCAGGCCAAGAUCGAGCAGGCCGAGAAGGCCAAGGAGAAGGAGCGGCGCCUGAAACUCCGGGAAGAGAAGGUCAAGAUGCAGAAGCAGCUUCAGGAAGAGCGUCUACAGCGGGCCCGGGCUCGGGCCCAGGCCGAGAUCAAGAAGAAGAGAGGCAGAAGACUGGUGUGCCGCUCCCGGCCCCCGGCUCUGAAAACCAAGAAGGAGCCUGAGCACGUGCUGAUGGACAAGGACAAGGAGGAGCAGCUGUUCUUCUUCACCUAGCCUGCCGGGCCGCCGGCCUGGCUCACGGCGCAGGAGACACGACGGCAGGAAGCAGAGACAGGCUGCGCCCCAGGCCUCCUGCUCUGCCCGCCUGGCCUGCCGGAACAUGCAUUAGAAUCUGGCCUCACUGUGACAAAGGGACCACUUCUGCCCCGGAGUGUGACAAAAUCAACCCGACCAGGAACACCAGCCAAGGCGUGGGGAAAUGGCCUGGUACACAGCUCUCAGAAGGGAUACGGGUGCUUCUGUCUCUCUCAAGCCAGAUGCUACAACACAGAAGCUGAAAGACCCCAUUUGGUUUUACCACAGAGAAAGCUGUGUCUGACUAGGGAAACAAACUCGACCCUAUUUUCCUGCACAAUGUGUUUCCUUAAAUGAACAAGUGCUCCAUGGCUCAGAUCGAAUGGGACAGGGAUGUCCACGCACAGCCCAGCACAGGAAAGUUGUGCAUUUUGCUCUGAAGGCAAGCCUUGCCUCACCGAAGCACUCUGCUCAUACAUAGCAGUUUCAAAUAGCACGGCCCCAAAUUGGUUCCUGAUAAAAUGUAAGGAAAACAUUUUCAAUAAAUGUACCCCAAAGUCUCUGAAGAACUAGGCUGCCCUUCUGAGCAGAAACCAAGGUCUCACCCAGGCCUGCAAGACCAUGGACCAAAGUCUUGGGGGAACAGGGAUGGGAGGCGUUGUCCUUGGUCCCCAGGCAGAGGGCAGCUGUCACUGCAGGUCCCGCAGGUUGACCGUGCUCCCUGGGCACUGCACGUCCUCAGGUCCAGCGGCCCCGCCAGCUGCAGGAAGCACCUCCUGCAAAGGCAAGCAGAGCCAUGAGGAGGGGCAGCCACACAGCCGCUCACCAACCACCAGCAGACGCCCUGGAGCCACAAAGGUGCGCCUGACUUUUCUCGAUUAAAAUGACAUGGUUUCCUCUUAUUUUAAACGUAGGUUCCUCGAAGAAGAUAUUAAUAUAAACAAAAAUACGGAAAAAAAUAAACCCAAUACUUGCAUUGUAGGUUUUCUCAAAAUUGAGACUAUCCUUAUUUCAUCUAUAACCCUUUUCCCACUCAGUAUGUGGGAAGCAUCUUGCCCAGGUAUCAGGCAUCCGCCUGGCCAUCGAUGGCUGCCCAGGACUCAGCCCCACGGCUACACCAUCACCCGCCUAAUUCACCUCCUCCUGCUAGAAGGAACAUCCCCACGUCAUUAGAUUCGAGGCUACGAUGCACAUCUUUGGGCACACAUUCUAGAAAACGUGGCCGUCACUGCGCAGACACCAUGGAGUGCCCUCUCACAGACCUAGAGGUACAGUCAUCUACACACCCAGGCUGCGUGGCACUAAAUCUCACGGCACCACCAUCGUACGCGCAGUCCAUCAUCGACCGCGACGCGGCGGUGCAGCGCACGACGGGCUGUAAGAAACAGCAAACAUCCUGGCACCCAACCCAAUGAGGCCCACCUCCGUGACGAGACUCGCAGAGGCAGAAGCCUCUAACAGUCUUACUAGCACACCCAGAGCUGGGAGGCGUCCAGACCUGGAGGACAUAGACGGGCAUGUCAACGGCGAGCAGCGGGCGGAAGCCUCAAGAACCUUCUGUGUCAAGCACCAAGCACUCCCAUUUUACAGAUGAUACAACCAAAGCCCAGACUGCUUAACUAACUUGCUCAAGACUACACUAGCUGACUCUCCACAGCCUCUCCCAGGAUCCCAGACCCCACGGAUGUGGUCACCCUGCUCUUCUCACUCAGCUCGCCACUUCAAAGUCCUACGCUGUCUCUGUGCCUCCCUGGCCGCGUGGUCCUCUGAGGCCCAGAAGAUGCUCAGUGAAGAAACAGCAUGUGAUUGGACCAGGGCGGGGUUCACAUCCUCAGCUUUUAAACCUCUUCUCUCCCAAAACCCGCCCAAAUUAUGGUACUUCCCUAUUCUGGCCCUUCAAAGAUGAGACUGGAAGUGAAGGUGUCCAGAACUGUGGAGGUGAGCGUGUCCAGUGAGCACCCAUGGAGUGGAUGCCAGCUGCUGGGCCCCAGGCAGUCAAGAGGCUAUAUCCUCUGGCGUGCGAUGACCAGUCCCCAGAGAUGGGGGUGACCAAGCCACUGAGGAAGCCCCUUCACCCCAGGCCUGAAAAGAGAAGCAGGGGCUGGGGAUGGGCAGCACCAGGAGGAGUGAGGCACCGACGGUGCCCAUGUGGCCAGAAACAACAGUGUCCACACCUCACAGAACUCCAGGGGAGAUGCCGACGACAGACCGCGUCGGGGGAGCCAGACAGAGGCCCUCGUCCGGCCUCCUCCUCUGGCUCGCUGGUUCUUACCUGCAGUAACUGGACCUGAAAGCACUGCACCCCGGCCGCUGGAGCUGGUGCUGGCAGGCCUCCACUGGGCACCACGAGGUUCCCACACAACCAACCGCUCUGGCUCGUGUGGAAGUGAGCAGGACUGAGUCUGCCACCUUUCGUCCUCCUCUGAGCAGACCCCGGGGCGCCUGAAAGGAAACACACAAUGUACAGUGCACUGCUUGGGGCCUGCCCUCACUGAGGCCACACGCGGGGAGACGGCCGUCCCGCUGUCACUCUGCACAGCCUUGCAGACUGAACCUUACUCAACAGGGAGAGUCACAAGGUAGGAGGUGGAAAAAACAGGAUUUUGAUUGGAAAGUUUAGCCAAUUUCUCAUACAUCUCUUUUGGACACACAGCAAUCAGACUCCACUUGCCCGUCUCUUGAGGGCAGAUUCUUCCUCAUCCCCCAACUCCAACAGCUCCAGGCGUGCAGAAGAACCCGAAACCACUGAGCACAACGACCACGCCGAGCAGCAGGACCGCAGAAAAGGGGAGGGAGAAAGCAGGCCCGUGUCCUCGACCUUGGGCACCCCAGCACAUGCUUAAUAGCCGCCAAAUCCUUCAGGCUGUUUCUGUCCACCUUCAUUCUGUCCAUCACUUCAUUGGGAUCAUAAAAAUACGCUCUUAAAAAAAUUAAGUACAAGGAAGAAAGAAAAAGUCCUAAGACCCAGAAAGGGUUUCUCUGACACCCACAUGGUUUGUCAGCAGCAGGAGACCCUGGAGCCAGAGACCAAUGGCCUGGAUUCAAAUCCUGGCUCCUCCAGUGACCGUGCUCCUGGACCCUGGACAAGUAACCUGAGCCUGGCCUGUGUUCUGCCUGUAAAACGGGAGCAAUAGCCCCUCCCGCAGAGACUGGGGAGGAUUAAGUAAGGAGAUAUGUGAUAAGAGUUUAGAACAGUGCCUGGCUCCCAGUGAGCCCCGGGGAAGUUUAGGUGGUGCUACUGCUGUGUCCCUGGACGCACGUAUAUGAAUGGUUCCGUAAGACAAUCUUACAAGGAACAGCACAGAAUUAAUCUUAAUAAAAGUCUUAAAUUUAAUUUUGUUGAAUUUAACAAAAGGAAAAGAAACAAGUGAAACUGAAGGACUUGCUAAACUUCUGGAAAAUAUUUGUGAUAAUCUCUAAUUUCUAAAGUGAAACAGAAAAGAUUAAAAAUAUGAGAGGCUGGAUCCUUUGUUUAGGUUUUUGGACUAGUAAGUUUCCAUUUUAAACAGGACUGGUUAACGCUGCUACCCAGGAUGAGCUGUCUUUGUUCCAUCAGGUUUUGCUCUAAGGUUUCAGGCCGACAUGAGUCCAGGGGUCCCAGCUGCAGACUGGGAGCCCCAGGCGAGCACCACGUCUGAUCCUUGCUCAUCUCACUCCAGACGCCUCCACAUCUCUCACAGCCCCGCACGCCCCGAGUGCUUGCAUGCUGCGGACGUCGGUGGCCUUCAGCCGGGAUGAACUCCUGGGCACAGCUCCUGGCCCUUGGCACCUGACAGCCAGGGCUCUGGAGGCGUUUUCCUGCACACAGCCUGACGCCUUCUCCCCAGGUGCCUGAAGAAUCCUUUAUCUCUGAAGUGCAGUUACACCCAGGAUGUUGGAUGGCGAGUCUCAGGUCCGAGCAGCACAGUUCAGCCCCUUCACUGUGGGGAAGCGCAGUUCCAUACAUCCCUGAGUACUUCCUUUGCUGUUCCACCUGCUGGGUUCUGCACCUCAGGGAACCCAGCCACCCAAGUGCUGGAUUCGCUCUGGCUGUUCUCCACACUUCUCCUCACUGCUAUACAGCUUUCAAACAACACAGCAGCGCUGGGACUAGUGCAAGGAAGGAGGUGAGGGGCAUACGUCACUUGCUCUUCCCUAACAGAAAUGCUACCUGACUUCCCACUCUCCUUGGAGGGGUACACUAUUCCACCACCUCUGGAAUUCUACUUGAAUGCAUUCUCAUGCUUUGAAGUCAUUUAUCACCCUAGGGUAUUUCCCUGAAAUAAAAAUAUAUACAUAAAUUGAA